GUUGACCAGAGAUAGAAGUAAGAAAUAUAUACAUCCCUGAAAUGUAAAAGUAUGAGAAUGAGGGGGAAAAUAGACUAAUUCAUGGGCCUGGGAAACUGGUCGGCCUGAAAAAAUGCCAGGCUUGUUCUGGGUCUGGGAUUUGAGUUUACAUAUGAACAGGCACACCUGAUUAAUAAAAAAUUAAUAUUUUUUUAUUGUACAAGCCAGGCCCAGUCAAGGUUCAAAA
rnacentral:misc_RNA from 1 species